rnacentral:rRNA from 1 species
GAUUAACGCUGGCGGCGUGCAUAACACAUUCAAGUCGAACAGGUGUAGAAAUACAUCAGUGGCGGACGGGUGAGUAACGCGUGAGCAAUCUACCUUCCAGUACGGAAUAACAACCGGAAACAGUUGCUAAUACCGCAUAAUGCAUUGGAUUCGCAUGUUUCUGAUGCCAAAGAUUUUAUCGCUGAAAGAUGAGCUCGCGUCUGAUUAGCUAGUUGGCGGGGUAACGGCCCACCAAGGCGACGAUCAGUAGCCGGACUGAGAGGUUGAACGGCCACAUUGGGACUGAGACACGGCCCAG